CCUUCAAGGCAAAGGUUUUCU
rnacentral:miRNA from 1 species